AGUCGAUGGUGGGGACAACUUGCACAUAACUUCUUGAAUCUCUCCCAAUAGUCAUACACGCUCUCUCCACCAAGCUGUCUGAUCCCAGAAAUAUCUUUUCUGAUGGU
rfam:Vigna angularis cultivar Jingnong 6 scaffold91_3, whole genome shotgun sequence.